AAACUACAAGACUUAGCCACCCCAACGGUACAGGACAGAACAGCAGCCACACCAGCUGCCUGCUCUAUUUCCACAAGGGCAGCUCUGAGGACUCACCUUGUUUGGCCAGUAGACUGCACCCAUCCCAGGACCCUACCCCGCUGGAUUCAAAGCCAUCAACCAAGUCAUUUUCAGGCCCAAGAGCCAUGGAAAGCCCCAUCGAGUCCUGGGUGUGCCAGGAAGCUGCCUCACCUACCCUUCCCGCUCGCAUGGCCUGACCACAUGGAAGGGACAAGAUGUCCAAGGCGUGUGUGUCUCCCAAACCUUUGGAUAAUGUUAAGGGGACAUUUAGAAAUGAUUCAAUAGUGAGAUAUCUGUGUAGACCCUGAGGCCCUACCUGCAUCUUUGGCCACCUCAGACACAUCUUCAUUCCUCAUCUCUGCCAUGUACCCCAGCACCGUGAAGAUGACGAAUCCUGAAACAAAACUUGUCCCGCAGUUCACCACGCUGGUAACUAGGGCAUCUCUGCAGCAGAAAAUGGAAAGGGUGAGACAGUUCCGAGGUGGGGAACCUGUAAAGUGUGUGUGUGUGUGUGUGUGUGUCUGUCUGUCUGUCUGCCCUGCUAAGCUGGCCUGGCCUGGCUGGGCCAGAGACUGUGCUUGGAGAGUCCCAAGCCUGUUCCCUCCCUGCCUUCCGAAGUCCAGCCUCGUGGGUUGGAAGCACCAAUUGCUGUGAUCACACACAUACCUGGGGACAAGGACAGGUUGAUGUGGGCAGGGGGAGUGUGCUGUGGCCAUGGGUGAACUGUCCAGGAGCCCAUGACACCCUUGAUGGGCAGUUAUCAUCUGAGCCCAGCCAGCUUGGAGACCGGGGUCAGAGGUAGCCUUCCUCCACACUGACGGAAUUGUACUCACUCUUUUAGGCUUUGCUCAGGCCAGGGUGGGGGAGGCUCUUGAUACUCACUGAUAGCAGUUGUUGUUGAAUUUAUUGUAGCUUGCAAAAGCCAACAGGACCCCAAAGCCUGGGCCUAGAGAGAAGAAGAUCUGAGCAGCGGCAUCCACCCACACCUGGAAGAAAGCAGUGGGGAAGGGCAUAGGCAUGGGGGUGAGAGGACUGCACUGGGCACUGCCAGCCCAGCACACCUCAGCACUGAAGUGGCUGUUCAGAGAGAAGGAAAACUAGCUUUGGAGGCUCAGUCCAGGGAUGGCCACAUGGCAAGUGCAAAUACAUGCAAUUUCUCUCCCUUUAGUCAUCAACCCAUCCUGUGGACUCAGCUGUAGUGUUUACACUUGUCUUUCUGGUGUAAAGCAUGAGCACAGGUUGCACACUGACACUGCAUUUCAUGUAUCCCUACUGUCCUAUUCAGAGAAGGACUAGCUUCAUUCAGUAAAAUGACACCCCCAACCCCCUUUUUGUCUUACCCCCGUCUCCAGGAGCUUCUGCCAGUUGGGCUUCAGGUAAAAGAGAACACCUCUCCAGGCUCCUGGGAGAGUGGCGCCCCUCACCAACAGGAUGGACAGGAUGAUGUAUGGGAAGGUGGCUGUCACCCACACCACCUGGAAGCACAGUGGAAACAGGUCAUCCACACACAAGGGUAGAGAUGGGCGGGGGUCAGCGUCAUGCUGAAGCUCUGUGCCUUCCUGUCGCUGUAGGGUUAAAGGUGUCAUGGAAGAAAGACCACAGGCUUCAGAGAGGGACAGAGCGCUGACAGUGUGGCCAGCGUUGAGCCAGCAGCAGGUCUAGGAAAUGGGGAAAAGAUCUUGGGGGAAGCAAAAGAAUGAGCCAUGCCUAGGUCAGUGACCACUGCUGCUACUGUGACAGUAGUGUAUAGGAACAAGCUAUAGGAACUUUGAAGAAUAAAUGAGGUCAUGGCUCUUGAGAUAAACCCAUUUCCAGAACUUCCUAACAUGUAAACUGAGCAUCACAGAAUAUGUGUGGUGUUAAAGGACACCACGCCUGUCUGCCAGGCUCACCUUGCCGGAGCUUUUGACACCUUUCCAGAUGCUGAAGUAAAUCACGGUGAAGAUGAGCAGGAUGCAGAGAGCCAGCUGCCAGCUGAUGCCGCCCAGGGCCUGGAGGCCCUUUGACCGGUGGAUCUGCAGGACAUGGCGCCUGCAGGGGAAGACCCAGACAACGGCCUGAGCACCCACACAGCAACACCUCCAGGAGGUGCCUGCAGCAGGCCAGAACAAUCCUGUGCAAGCCACCUUUGCAGGUGUGGCUACGAGGAUUGUUUCCACCUGGCUGCUGGAUGGAAACUGAGGAACCAUCCAGCG